rnacentral:rRNA from 1 species
AUGAAGGCCACCCUGCUCCCGGUCAUCUCUCCCUCGCUUUCCAAAUCCGACUCAAACUCACUGAACUGCAGGGCCUCUCGCUCCUUGUCCAUGGCGAUCACCAGCCCACUCUCAACAAAAGGCCUGAACGUAUCACACAAUGACCGUGUCAGACCCUCUCCAAAAGAUUUACUGAAACUGUGCAGAUCCAGCCCGCGAGCUGUUCUCAGUGACAGCAUCACCGAGUCCAUAGCCAUAUCCUUCGUCUCGGAGACGCUGGACUCAUGGCACCAGGUGCCGUCUUCCAGCUUCUGA